rnacentral:rRNA from 1 species
AUUGAACGCUGGCGGCAGGCCUAACACAUGCAAGUCGAGCGAGCGGAGGACGGGUGAGUAAUGUCUGGGAAACUGCCUGAUGGAGGGGGAUAACUACUGGAAACGGUAGCUAAUAUCGCACACCAUCAGAUGUGCCCAGAUGGGAUUUGCUAGUAGGUGGGGUAACGGCUCACCUCGGCGACGAUCCCUAGCUGGUCUGAGAGGAUGACCAGCAAACCUGGAACUGAGACACGGUCCAGACUCCUACGGGAGGCAGCAGUGGGGAAUAUUGCACAAUGGGCGCAAGCCUGAUGCAGCCAUGCCGCGUGUGUGAAGAAGGCCUUCGGGUUGUAAAGCACUUUCAGCGGGGAGGCGUUACCCGCAGAAGAAGCACCGGCUAACUCCGUGCCAGCAGCCGCGGUAAUUC